GGAAUAUUGGUCAAUGGACGAGAGUCUGAACCAGCCAAGUAGCGUGCAGGAUGACGGCCCUAUGGGUUGUAAACUGCUUUUGCAGGGGAAUAAAGUGAGGCACGUGUGCCUUUUUGUAUGUACCCUGAGAAUAAGGGCCGGCUAAUUCCGUGCCAGCAGCCGCGGUAAUACGGAAGGUCCGGGCGUUAUCCGGAUUUAUUGGGUUUAAAGGGAGCGCAGGCUGGAUUUUAAGCGUGUUGUGAAAUGUACCGGCUCAACCGGUGAUGUGCAGCGCGAACUGGAGUCCUUGAGUGAGUACGACGUCAGCGGAAUUCGUGGUGUAGCGGUGAAAUGCUUAGAUAUCACGAAGAACUCCGAUUGCGAAGGCAGCUGUCCAGUCCGUAACUGACGCUAAUGCUCGAAGGUGCGGGUAUCGAACA
rnacentral:rRNA from 1 species